CACUUAUAGGAAAGAAGAGGUUAGUAUUCCCCCUGAUAAAGAUGGAAGAUCUCCUGGUGAAACAUGCACAUGAUUUAAGGCCUUGCCACGUAAUUUGUGGCCUUUAAUUAGUU